UUUAUCAGAUCAUAAAGUUCACAUAGCCAUGAAGAGAUUCCAUAAUAGUCAAGAGAAUCUUUAAGAAGAAAACUGGAGGACUUACACCACCACAUAAGGGAAAACCAACCCAGUCCUUGUGUUCCAUUUAUUGAAGCAGAAGUCCUUCUUCACUUCUUAAUACCUGUGUGACUUUGUGUGGGUCAUCUCUACUUCACCUAGCUCCACUGCAACUCUCUUUCUAAGAGAGGGACCUUAGGAAUUUUCUUGGAUCAGGCUAUAUUUUCUCCAAGAAUCAGAAGCUGAUGGAUCAGAAUAUUGUUUCUCCUUAACUUUACUGUUUAAAACUCUAUACCCUUUGGGAAACUUGGUGAGUCUUUGAGCUGCCAGGAUCCCACACAGUUGUACUUGUUCAUGUCUUGGCUACUGCUCAAUUUGUUGGUUCUUGAACCAUAGAGAAUUUUGACACCCAGCAGCACCUUUAGCAACUAGAACUGUCUCAUGUAU